rnacentral:misc_RNA from 1 species
GUAAUUGCAAUAUAAUAUUUUACAAAAAUUAUACGUUAUGGUGUAAUUAUUAUACAUUUUAGCCUAUGUAUUUAUAGCGGUGAAAUUAAUUCCAUUAUUCAUGUUAUAGAAUCCAUAUUGAGUUCGAAUAUCUUACAAAUAUUAUGGAAUUUUAACCAAUUUAAAUAUUUCUAAGACGUAACAUAUAUAGAUCGUCUGAAAAGUUCCUUUCGUUUUAUAAGGAAAUAAUGGAUGCACAACAUUUUCCGUUUUAUAUUAUUUUAUCGAAUUACAUAUGAUCCAUUUUGUUGUAUCAAAAUAAAGAUUACAACGUUCGACAGAUUAGGUUUUAUGUUUGUAUAAAGAUGCGUUGUUGUAAAAGACGUGUCUGGAAAAGAAAG